UUAAAUUGAAGAGUUUGAUCAUGGCUCAGAUUGAACGCUGGCGGCAGGCCUAACACAUGCAAGUCGAACGGUAACAGGAAGCAGCUUGCUGCUUUGCUGACGAGUGGCGGACGGGUGAGUAAUGUCUGGGAAACUGCCUGAUGGAGGGGGAUAACUACUGGAAACGGUGGCUAAUACCGCAUAACGUCGCAAGACCAAAGAGGGGGACCUUCGGGCCUCUUGCCAUCAGAUGUGCCCAGAUGGGAUUAGCUUGUUGGUGAGGUAACGGCUCACCAAGGCGACGAUCCCUAGCUGGUCUGAGAGGAUGACCAGCCACACUGGAACUGAGACACGGUCCAGACUCCUACGGGAGGCAGCAGUGGGGAAUAUUGCACAAUGGGCGCAAGCCUGAUGCAGCCAUGCCGCGUGUAUGAAGAAGGCCUUCGGGUUGUAAAGUACUUUCAGC
rnacentral:rRNA from 1 species